rnacentral:lncRNA from 1 species
UUGACUCUGUAAACAUUUUAAUAAUGUUUUAUAUUGAUAUUUGGGUUAUGGUUUAUAUUUCUUUUAAGGUUUAGUGAUUAGUAUUUUAAGUUUAGUUUAUGGAAGAUUCAGAUGUUCAUCAAACUAUUUAAUAAUUUUAUUAAUAUGAACUAUACCCUUUAUCAUAUUUUAUUAUAUUUAUACAAUACCAUCACUAUCAUCGUGGAUGCUAUAACCACCGCAACUCUAACAACACUUUUUCAUUUAAGUGACAUGGUAUUACCGUCAACCGGCUUUG